rnacentral:tRNA from 1 species
GAGGGUAUAGCUCAGUGGUAGAGUGCAUGCUUAGCAUGCAUGAAGUCCUGGGUUCAAUCCUGAGUACCUUAC